UAGGGAAUCUUCGGCAAUGGGGGGAACCCUGACCGAGCAACGCCGCGUGAGUGAAGAAGGUUUUCGGAUCGUAAAGCUCUGUUGUUAAGGAAGAACGAGUGCGAGAAUGGAAAGUUCAUACUGUGACGGUACUUAACCAGAAAGGGACGGCUAACUACGUGCCAGCAGCCGCGGUAAUACGUAGGUCCCGAGCGUUGUCCGGAUUUAUUGGGCGUAAAGCGAGCGCAGGCGGUUAGAUAAGUCUGAAGUUAAAGGCAGUGGCUCAACCAUUGUAGGCUUUGGAAACUGUUUAACUUGAGUGCAGAAGGGGGGAGUGGAAUUCCAUGUGUAGCGGUGAAAUGCGUAGAUAUAUGGAGGAACACCGGUGGCGAAAGCGGCUCUCUGGUCUGUAACUGACGCUGAGGCUCGAAAGCGUGGGGAGCGAACAGG
rnacentral:rRNA from 1 species